AGAAGAUUAAAAGAGGGAAGCAGAGGAGUUGGGAGCUGGCGGUCGUUCCCGGGGAAGAACUGCUAAAACAUGAGACCAAGGCACAGACCUUACUGUAUGAGAAGCAAUGCUCCUCAAACCUUCUGCGUGCUGACAUAGACCUUCCCAGAAGCAAAACUGUUGGCGGCGACCUGAGCGCUGGAAGCCGAAGGGGAAGAGGAAGGAGACGCGAAGCCAGGGCGGCCGGCACAAAGGCGGCGGACUCGCGGCGGCAGCGCCUGCCCGGCCGGGAGCACAACCCACGGCCCUACUCCAGCGAAGUCCCGCACCGGCUUCUAGGAAUAAAGUUUACGUUCUCCUGAGGCCGCACCCCCCACCUCCCACCCAGGACGGCACAUCUCCGUGUCCUCCUCCCCCAAACUCCACUCGGGACCCCGAGAACCACCCCAGCCUUCCGGCCACCACAACAAAGAGCCGCACCGACCGGCGAGGAUAAACAGCGGCGGAGGGCGAGAGGGCGGCGGGGCGAGCGCCUCCACGCAGCAACUCCGGAGUCCCCCGCUUGCCCGAGCGCAGUUUCUCCGCUGCUGUUUCCACCGGCUUUGUAACACUGGGAAUUUACAUCCUCACCCGCACCCCUCACGCCCGAGGAUUUUAAACUCACCUUUACUCUCGAACUGAGAGUUGCGGUAGAUGGGAUUUUUGCCUUUUCCCCAGAUGGUUGAAGGUUAAGAUUUUUGGAAACCCCACCACCUCCUUAUUUCUAUUAUUAUUUCUGCAAGAAAAGUAUAAAGAGAGUUGUAGUGGAGGUGAGAUUUGUGAUCGGGAAAGCCUUCGACUCCCUCCUUCUCCGUCUUCCGCCUCUCUCUCUCUGAUUAGUUCCUAUCCAGCAGCAGAUUGAAGCAGGAGAUGAUUCUUCUCAAGGUUUGUUCAGCAGCUUCACUUCUAGGCGAAGGCUUCAUGAACCAAGUGACGUCAACCAACAAGGCUUCUCUCUCUCUCCUCUCUCUAACAAUGAAAGUUGCUGUUAACAAGGGAAAAAAAGAGAGAGAAUUGUUUAUACCAUUUCAGUUCCAAUAAUAAAUGACCUAUCAGCUCCUAAAGGAGCCAAGG
rnacentral:lncRNA from 1 species